AUGUCCCAUCCCUCCAAGCCCACCCUGCCUCACUUACCCCAUCUGAGACCAUCAUGUACCCAUGUUCCCCACAGCCCAGCCUCAAGGCCCAGGACCUCCCAUACCCCUCUGUGUACCCCUCCCCAGGCUCAGAGACACUCACCCAGGUGCUGCCCGACCCCUGGGUGCUGCCGGCUGCUGCUCUGCUCAACUUUGGCCAGGAGCAGUGGGUGGCACCCGCCACACCCCAGCUUCCUGCUGCUGUCUCACCCAGCCCCAUGGAGCUCUGCCAUGGGCAUGCAGGUAAACCCUGAGCCCCAGCAGCACCAAAACCAGCAACCCUUGGGGGAUCCUGAACACCCAUGGGGGGUCCAAACAGCCAUAGGGGGUCCUGAAGCCCAGGGAAGGCCCUGCAGCCUCAUGAGCUUGGGGAGCUGCUGGGAAGGCUUUCCCUUCCCUUCCCUUCCCUUCCCUUCCCUUCCCUUCCCUUCCCUUCCCUCCCUUUCCCUUGCACUUCCUUCCCUUCCUUCCCUUCGCUUCCUUCCGCUUCCUCCCUUCCCUUCCCUUCCCUUGCCCUUCCCUCCCCUUCCGCUCCUCCCUUCCCUUCGCCUUCCCCUUCCCCUCCUUCCCUCCCUCCCCUUCCCUCCCCUUCCCUCCCCCUCCCCCCCCUUCCCUCCCCUUCCCUUCUCUUUCCUUCUCUUCCUACCCCUUCCUCUUCUCCUUUCCUUCCCUUCCCUCCACUCCCCUUUUCUCCCCUCCAUUCUCCUCCUCUCCCCAUCCCCUCCCCUUUCCCAUGCCAACACACGGACACAGCCAUGGCAAAGCUGCCUCCCAAGAAGCAAUAAGUUCCCAGCAGCCCCCCAGGAAUGUUCUGUUCAUCCCGAGCCCACUCAAAAGGUGCCCACAUAUUCUGCAGAGGGCAGCACGACAUCGGUGUUGGACCAUCACAUCAUUCCCAGUGCCAUUUCUGGGGGCAAAUCUGUGUUUUUCAGCCAAGUGCUGAAAGUCCAGAACCAUGGGGAUGUGGCACUGAGGGAUGUGGGCAUGGGGGAGUGGACUGGGGUUGGGCUGGGUGAUCUGAGAGGUCUUUUCUAA
rnacentral:lncRNA from 1 species